UUCUAAUAAAUCAUUUGAAAAUUUUGUCUUCAGGCAAACCCCCCUCCACUCUUUUAGUGUUACGUUAUUCAUGGAUGCUCCCCUAUAAGAUGACAAUUUCUUUUUUCAGUGCGGAGCAAAUUCAUUCGAGUUUACAUCGGUUUACAUUUUCCCGUGAAAUAAAACAAAGGAGAUACCUAUAUAGAAGAAUACUUAUGCCAUAAGCUAAAGAGUCUAAAAAGGGUGUUCUUUAUGCUUCUUUGGUUCUAUGUUGAGAUACUAUAGUUUUGUUUUCAGUAUUUCAGUCGAAUUACUUGGAUGAUCUGGAUCUGCUGAUGGUGUAGCUUGAAGCGGAAUUGAGAAAAUUGUUCAGUACGCUCCCGUUAUUUGCAGAAAACCUUGUCAUUCUAAUCGGAUUAUAUAGUUAUAUCAGCAACUGCGCCGUUUGUAUUGGUACAAGGGGUGUCACUGCUCCUUCGAGACUAUAUGCGAACGAAGAAGAAAUAUUCUGCUGCCAUCUGUGCUAAAGCGCCUCUGUUACGGAAUCGUUCCUGGCCGAUCCCCUCAACUGGCAUGCCACGGUACAACUGAAGAACAUCGUUCGCACAAACACAAAGAUACGUGGAGAGCCGUCCAAUUUUUAGAACGGGUGAAAAGGCCAUCAACGUUUUUUUUUCGACGGAUCCGAAUACGAAUCCGAAAGAGAAGAGUAACGUCGACCAAAGGGACAAGACUGACUGGGCCAGUGAGUUUUGUGUGAUUUUGAAGAGGACGUUUUACAAGGUCCACAAACCGCUCUCCGUUCCGGUGCGAUGUGUGAGGUAACCGUUCAUGUUACCUCCUGGAAUACCUAUUGAAGCAGCACAUAGAAUGUAAACAAGCGCUGAAGAAGAAGAUUUAUACCUGCGAAGGAUCCGAUCGUUUCUUCGGUACCUGCUAUGACUCAAAUGCACAUGAAAACCAUGCACAAUCCAAGUGCCAGUUGGAUUCGCGGCAUCUGCGCCAAAGGAAUCGCACUAAAUAAGAACUGGUAAAAGUACAUCCAGGAUGGGCUGGCGGCACUGGAUACCCAGUGAAAGUCCCGGUGGAAAAAGAGUCAUUUGAACCACUGCACUGCAAAUACAAUCCGUUCACGUGCGAAAUUUGCGACAUCUUCACAACGCGAAAUCGGAGUGUUCACGCAAAGCAAUUGACAUGACUUAAUACACAUAGGUACAUACUAUUAGCAGGCGUAUAUUUAAUAUUGAAAGGCCAAACUUAUGUUGCUUAUCUAUUGCAGUUAAAUUAUUUAGAUGAUCCGGAACUAUGGUAGGUCAUUAGAUGUCAAAGAUAGCCCUUGUAAGCGACAGCGAGCAUUUGAGCCAGUAUCGAGGUGGAACAACUAUUCAAUAUGACAGCUCAUCACAGUUGCUUUUGCUGCCAAGGGAUUGUUUGAAAAGCAUGAACCAAUGAAUUUGUUCUGGACUGGACUGGAUUCCAUUUUAUGUGUUCCAAGAGCGACUGCAACCAAGUGUAACGAUUCACCCAGCAACCGUGAUGACGGUACCCGAUCAUAUGAGUAUAUUCGGUUGUUCACAUUCUCGCGCGUACUAGCCAGAUCACACUAAUCCAUCGUAUUCAACCGUGGCAACAAGUUUCUUUAAUAUACGACAAGAUUAAUAUUUGCGACCGCCAAAAGUUCUCCGGAUAUCCUCAUCGGCAAGUCAUAAAUUGUGCUUCAUAUUAUGGACUACUGGAUCUUCGUGGGGAGAAGAAUGCUUUUCAGCCAUUUGCAAACAAAUUA